GUGCCAGCAGCCGCGGUAAUACGUAGGGGGCGAGCGUUGCCCGGAAUCACUGGGCGUAAAGGGGGUGUAGGCGGUCUAAUAAGUCAGAUGUAAAAGUACCUGGCUCAACCAGGGGGAUGCGUCUGAAACUGUUAGACUUGAGGUUACUAGAGGGAGACGGAAUUACCUGUGUAGCGGUGAAAUGCGUAGAUACAGGUAAGAAGGCCGGUGGUGAAGACGGUCUCCUGGGGUAAACCUGACGCUGAGGCCCGAAAGCUAGGGGAGCAAACCGGAUUAGAUACCCGGGUAGUCC
rnacentral:rRNA from 1 species